rnacentral:lncRNA from 1 species
CACCUAGGCCAUGCCCGUGCCUGAAAGAAAAAGUCAGGACGUUGAUUCGAACGGAUUCGAAUGCAACGAGCACUAAGUACGGUCACAUUAUUGGAGGAAUGACCGUGUGCUUGGUUCGUGAUUUGGAGUCACAAGUGAUAGCUGCAAGCUGAUAUCACUCGAACCACUGCACCAACCCGACUAAGCAUGAUCGAAAAAAGCUACAGCUCAUUAUGGCGUCAGUUUAGCUUUAAUGCUAAAUUUCGCAAACACGGUGAACUAGAUUGACAAUAAUAAAAAAUGAACUUUA